rnacentral:rRNA from 1 species
AGGAAAGCAGGGGAUCGCAAGACCUUGCGCUCUUUGAGCGGCCGAUGUCUGAUUAGCUAGUUGGUGAGGUAAAGGCUUACCAAGGCGACGAUCAGUAGCUGGUCUGAGAGGACGACCAGCCACACUGGGACUGAGACACGGCCCAGACUCCUACGGGAGGCAGCAGUGGGGAAUUUUGGACAAUGGGGGAAACCCUGAUCCAGCCAUGCCGCGUGAGUGAAGAAGGCCUUCGGGUUGUAAAGCUCUUUCAGCCGGAACGAAACGGUCACGGCUAAUACCUGUGACUACUGACGGUACCGGAAGAAGAAGCACCGGCUAACUACGUGCCAGCAGCCGCGGUAAUACGUAGGGUGCAAGCGUUAAUCGGAAUUACUGGGCGUAAAGCGUGCGCAGGCGGUUUUGUAAGUCAGAUGUGAAAUCCCCGGGCUUAACCUGGGAACUGCGUUUGAAACUACAAGGCU